UAUAGCUCAAUUGGUAGAGUGCCUGCUUAGCAUGCAUGAGGUCCUGGGUUCAAUCUCCAGUA
rnacentral:tRNA from 1 species